GCAUCGGGUAUUGCCUCAGUAACGGCGAGUGAAGCGGCAACAGCUCAAAUUUGAAAUCUGGCUCCUUCGGGGCCCGAGUUGUAAUUUGCAGAGGAUGCGUCGGGUACGGGUGCCUUCCGAGUUCCCUGGAACGGGACGCCAUAGAGGGUGAGAGCCCCGUCUGGUAGGAUACCCAGCCCGUGUGACGCUCCCUCGACGAGUCGAGUAGUUUGGGAAUGCUGCUCUAACGGGAGGUAUACUCCUUCCAAGGCUAAAUACCGGCUGGAGACCGAUAGCGCACAAGUAGAGUGAUCGAAAGAUGAAAAGCACUUUGAAAAGAGAGUCAAACAGCACGUGAAAUUGUUAAAAGGGAAGCGCUCGCUACCAGACUUGGGUUCGGCGGUUCAACCGGGGCCACGCCCCGGGGCAUUCCGCCGGCCCAGGCCAGCAUCAGCUUUCCGUCGGGGGUAAAGGCGUCGGGAAUGUGGCUCCCCUUCGGGGGAGUGUUAUAGCCCGUCGUGUCAUACCCUUCGGGGGGCUGAGGUACGCGCUUCUGCAAGGAUGCUGGCGUAAUGGUAGCUAGUGACCCGUCUUGAACCACCGGACCAAAUCGAACCCUCUA
rnacentral:rRNA from 1 species